rnacentral:rRNA from 1 species
AAACUGGAGAGUUUGAUCAUGGCUCAGAACGAACGCUAGCGGCGCGCUUAACACAUGCAAGUCGAACGAGAAAGCGGGGGCAACUCCGUUAGUAAAGUGGCGCACGGGUGAGUAACGCGUGGGUAAUCUCCCCUCAAAAUCGGAAUAACAUGCCGAAAGGCGUGCUAAUACCGGGUAAGACUACGGGACGCAUGUUCCGCAGUUAAAGGCGGGCCAGCAAUGGUCUGUCGAUUGAGGAUGAGCCCGCGUCCCAUCAGCUUGUUGGCGAGGUAACGGCUCACCAAGGCUAAGACGGGUAGCUGGUCUGAGAGGACGAUCAGCCACACUGGCACUGAAACACGGGCCAGACUCCUACGGGAGGCAGCAGUGGGGAAUUUUGCGCAAUGGGCGAAAGCCUGACGCAGCGACGCCGCGUGAGGGAAGAAGGUUUUCGGAUCGUAAACCUCUGUCGGAAGGGGAAGAAACUCUUUGCGGCUCAUACCCGCAGAGAUUGACGGUACCCUUUAAGGAAGCAUCGGCUAACUACGUGCCAGCAGCCGCGGUAAUACGUAGGAUGCUAGCGUUGUUCGGAAUUACUGGGUGUAAAGGGCGUGUAGGCGGCUUGGUAAGUCAUUGGUGAAAGCCCCCGGCUUAACCGGGGAAAUGCCCAUGAUACUGCUGAGCUAGAGUACUGGAGAGGGAAGUGGAAUUCCUGGUGUAGCGGUGAAAUGCGUAGAUAUCAGGAGGAACAUCGGUGGCGAAGGCGGCUUCCUGGACAGAUACUGACGCUGAGGCGCGAAAGCAUGGGUAGCAAACAGGAUUAGAUACCCUGGUAGUCCAUGCCCUAAACGAUGGGCACUAGGUGUGAGGACGCUUUAAUGUCUUCGUGCCGAAGUCAACGCAUUAAGUGCCCCACCUGGGAAGUACGGCCGCAAGGUUGAAACUCAAAUGAAUUGACGGGGGCCCGCACAAGCGGUGGAGCAUGUGGUUUAAUUCGACGCAACGCGAAGAACCUUACC